GUGGGGAAUAUUGGACAAUGGGCGAAAGCCUGAUCCAGCCAUGCCGCGUGUGUGAAGAAGGUCUUCGGAUUGUAAAGCACUUUAAGUUGGGAGGAAGGGCAGUAAGUUAAUACCUUGCUGUUUUGACGUUACCGACAGAAUAAGCACCGGCUAACUUCGUGCCAGCAGCCGCGGUAAUACGAAGGGUGCAAGCGUUAAUCGGAAUUACUGGGCGUAAAGCGCGCGUAGGUGGUUUUGUAAGUUGGAGGUGAAAUCCCCGGGCUCAGCCUGGGAACUGCCUCCAAAACUACUGAGCUAGAGUACGGUAGAGGGUAGUGGAAUUUCCUGUGUAGCGGUGAAAUGCGUAGAUAUAGGAAGGAACACCAGUGGCGAAGGCGACUACCUGGACUGAUACUGACACUGAGGUGCGAAAGCGUGGGGAGCAAACAGGAUUAGAAACCCUGGUAGUCC
rnacentral:rRNA from 1 species